UGUCUUUAUCUUAUCUAUCCCUUUCAUAAUUUUAUGGUUCUAUAAGAUCUCCUCUCAUUCUUCUGUUUUCCAGGCGACUCAAUCUCUCCUCAUAGUCUAACCUCCUUCGUCUCUGGAAUCAACCUGGUGAACCUCCUUUGUACUGCCUCCAAAGCCAGUAUAUCCUUCCUCAAAUAAGGAGACCAGAACUGCACACAAGUGCAGCCUCUCCAGUACCCUGUACAAUUGCAGCAUAACAUCCCUGCUCUUAAAUUCAACACCUCUGGCAAUGAAGGCUAAUGUCCCAUUUGCCUUUUUGAUAGACUGCUGAACCUGCAAACCAACCUUUUGUAAUUCAUGCACAGGCACUCCCAAGUCCCUCUGCACAGCAGCAUCCUGCAAUUUUUUUUACCAUUUAAAUAAUAAUCUGCUCUUCCAUUUUUCCUUUAAAGUGGAUGAUCUCACAUUUACCAACAUUGUAUUCCAUCUGCCAGAUCCUUGCCCACUCAUUUAACCUAUUUAUAUCUCUCUGCAGACUCCCCAUAUCUUAUGCACAAUGUGCUUUUCCACUCAAUUUAGCAUCAUCAGCAAACUUCAGAUACACUACAGUCAGUCCCCUCUUCCAGAUCGUUAAUGUACAAAAUUUGUAUAUCGUUGCGGGCCCAGCACCGACCCCUGCGGCACACCGCUCACUGCAGAUUGCCAACCGGAGUAACACCCAUGUAUUUCAACUCUUAGCUUUCUAUUAGUUAAGCAAUUCUCUAUCCAUGCUAAUGCAGCACCUUAUCGAACAUCUAAUGGAAAUCCAAGUAAAUAAUGUCAAUCUUUUCCCCUCGAUCCACUGCACUCCUUUUAUCCUCAAAGAACUCCAGUAAGUUUGUUAAACAGGACUUGCCUUUGCUGAAUAUGUGCUGUGUCUGCCUGAUGGAUCCAUUUUUUUUCCAAAUGACAGCUUCAAGCAUUUUCCCCAACCACAGAUGUUAAGCUAACUGGCCUAUAGUUAUCUCUGUUUUGCCUGCAUCCUUUUUUGAACAGUGGCAUGACAGUCGGUGUCUUCCAAUCUUCUGGGACCUGCCCAGAGUCCAGAGAAUUUUGGUAGAUUAUUACCAAUGUCUCUACUAUAACUUCUGCCUUUUCUUUCAGUACCCUGGGAAGCAUUCCAUCAGGACCAGAGACUUGUCUAUCUUCAGGCCCACAAGUUUGCUCGGCACUACCUCUUUAGUGAUAGCUAAUGUAUCAAGGUACUCCCCUCCCAUCGCAUCCAUAACAUCUCUCUUUGGCAUGUUAGAUGUGUCCUCCACUGUGAAGACUGUUACAAAAUAAUCAUUUAAAGCCUCUGUCAUUUCUUUGUUACACAACACCAAUUCCCACUUCUCAUCCUCCAACGGACCUAUGUUCACUUUGGCCACCCUUUUCUGCUUUAUAUAAUUUAAAAAUCUUUAUUAUCCGUUUUUAUAUGUUGUGCUAAUUUAUUUUCAUAAUCUAUUUUUCCUUUCUUUAUGCUCACUUAGUGGUUCUUUGACGCUUUUUAAGGUUUUCCCAAUCUUCCAGUUUCCCACGACUCUUGACACCAUGGUUUUUCAGGUAAUCAUCCAGAUGCUUUAAUAUUGUGAGAGCACUUGCCAUCACUACCCACUCAAGCAGAGACUUCUAGAUUCCAACUAUUUUCUAAGACAGAUUCAGAUCUUUCUCAGGUUGUCUCUAAACCCCUAGCCCUUACCCUAAACCCUCUCUGGUUUUAGAUAUCAAUGCUACAGGAAGAAUUCUAUUUACCAUAGUCAUACCCCUAAAGACAAACCUGACUAAUCCAAUCUCUCCUUGUAAAUGAAUCACUUCAUCCCAGGAAAUAUACCUGGUGAAUCUCCUCAGCUCCUUCUCCAGUCCAAUAACAUCCUUUUUUUCGAGUUUAUAGGUAAACACUGCUAAGACAGGUUAAGAAAAGGUUAAGAGACCUGGAAUCUGACAGAACAAAUGGUCGAGCAUAGGUAUAUUCUGAAUGUCUCUGACUGGAAGUUAAACGAUAGUUGUUGGCUUUUCACCCCACCAGGGAAAUUAAAAUCAUUUUAUUUGCACUGGAGCAAUCUGCAGUAACAAUAUCAUCUCAUCUGGAUACAAAGUACAAAAUACAGAGUAUAUUUGUUAUCGAAGUAUACAACUUUGAGAUUUGUCUUCUUGCAGACAGCCACAAAACAAAGAAACACUGUGGAACCUGUUUAAAGAAAGACCUCUCACAACAAGAUCAUCAGGCAUGCAAAAAAACAAAUCAAGCAGCCAGCAAAGAGUGAACAAAUAACACACAAAAUAUCUCACUGGAGAGCCCACAGCCACAAGGAUUAUGCAUCAGUUGCCCAUUUAAUGCCAGCAAGAACACUGAACAUGGAUUACGUGGUUACAUUCAUUUGAGCACAAUAAGGCACCUUCUGCAAUUGUGAUUUUGUUCUUAAAAUGUUAACCCCAAGAAGAGGGCAAGGAAAGUAGUACUGUAGCUGUAAACAAAUAUUACAAAUUGUAUGCCUGUUACUGGAACUACUCCUCUUCUCACUGGUGUUUCCACCCCAGAACUAAUUGCCUGUGGAGACCUCUCCAGCUUCACUUUUUGGGGCUUAAACUCCAGUGCUUUGAAACUAAAACAACUUGCUUGGAGUAAGGCAACCAGAAGUGUCAACAGGCUGGACAUCUCAGUCAGUAGUGGUAUUCUGCCAAACUGCCUGCUCAUUGGGAAACACGUGGAAAGAAUAGAUUUCAUUACUUCAAGUCAUGUGAAGUGCCAUGUACCAUUCAGCUAGGUCUUCUAAUAUACAAUAACAAACCACAACAAAUUUAGAGUGGAUCAAAUUAUAUGUGCCUUUAUUACUUGCAAGGGAAGGUCUAUCUAGAUACAUUAAGUUGGUAGGUAGCUUCAAUCUUACAGCUCAGGACAAAACAUUUUUAUACUUUUACAAAGGUCAGUAAUUCAUCAAUUUCAUGUCUUUGAGGUUGUUCCAUCCCAUAAUGGCAUUCCUUCCUUACCUGUAUCUGUGGCAUCUGUCUCUUAAUCAGUCAAUUUAUCUUUUGAAGCUUAUGCCCCUCAUUUCAGCUGUAUCCUGUUUACUUCGGUUAGCACAUCCCUGCUAUAAAACACACACAGACUUCUUGUAAGCCUCCCAUCCAAACCAACUAGCAAAGUACCCUGGGAUCCAUUUUGUCACAUUACCAUUUACAAAAGUUGUAAGUUCAUAAAGACUUGAGGCUUGCAGAUAUAUUUCCACAUUAACAUCUCUGAGAACAUAUUAAUUUCUAAUAAAGUGCCUGUGGUCUAUUUUAGAGCCAUUAACAUUGGAUUGUAGAAUGACAUACAAUUUAUAAAUGUAACAGGAUGGAACAGGGACUCUUAUAACGGAUGAAGCAGGCUCACGGGCGACUAUGGAUGAAACCGGCUGACAGCAGCGGGUCCUGUAGUCAAUACUGAAGAUUGAAGCCGAAAGGUUGAUUGGAAGUCCGGACUUUGAGCCUGAUGGCUGAAGCCCUGCAUCUGCAAGUUUGUGAGUCUGCUGGAGGCUGACGGCCCGGAGGUGGACUGUUCGGAGCUGGAGGAUUGCGUGUGUGUGUGUGUGUGUGUGUGUGAGGGAGAAAGGGGGCUUGCUUUGCCAUGGUUACGUUGUUAUUUCUUGCACUGUUCAGCUGAACGUUGUGGAAAUAAAUGCUAUGUGGGCGCUGGAAUGUGUUGUGUCACUUGCCGGCUGCCCCCAGCACAUCCUUAGGUUGCUUUGAUUGUUAAUGCAAACAAUGUAUUUCACUGUAUGUUUUCAUUAAAUCUGAAUCUGAAUAUGAUCUGAAUUAAAAUAGGUGCCUAUAUGUAAACUGA